rnacentral:rRNA from 1 species
CUGUUUAACCAUAGAAGGUCCAGCCUGCCCAGUGACCCUGUUCAACGGCCGCGGUACCCUAACCGUGCAAAGGUAGCGUAAUCACUUGUUUUUUAAAUAAAGACUAGUAUGAAAGGCACCACGAGGGCCAAACUGUCUCCCCCUUCUAAUCAGUGAACCUAACCUCCCCGUGAAAAGGCGGGGAUUUUAUUAUAAGACGAGAAGACCCUGCGGAGCUUAAAACAUUACCACAUAUGCCCCCAUAACAACUAAAUUUUACCCCACACGCACAAUGUCUACAUGUUUUUGGUUGGGGCGACCACGGAGAAAAAUCUAUCCUCCAUAAUGAAAAAACUACUUUAAACAACAAGCCACAACUUUAUGUAUCAACAAAUUGACACCAUUGACCCAAUACAUUGAUCAAUGAAC